rnacentral:rRNA from 1 species
ACUCAAAGGAAUUGACGGGGGCCCGCACAAGCAGCGGAGCAUGUGGUUUAAUUCGAAGCAACGCGAAGAACCUUACCUAGACUUGACAUCUCCUGAAUUACUCUUAAUCGAGGAAGCCCUUCGGGGCAGGAAGACAGGUGGUGCAUGGUUGUCGUCAGCUCGUGUCGUGAGAUGUUGGGUUAAGUCCCGCAACGAGCGCAACCCCUAUUGUUAGUUGCUACCAUUUAGUUGAGCACUCUAGCGAGACUGCCCGGGUUAACCGGGAGGAAGGUGGGGAUGACGUCAAAUCAUCAUGCCCCUUAUGUCUAGGGCUACACACGUGCUACAAUGGCUGGUACAGAGAGAUGCAAUACCGUGAGGUGGAGCCAAACUUUAAAACCAGUCUCAGUUCGGAUUGUAGGCUGAAACUCGCCUACAUGAAGCUGGAGUUGCUAGUAAUCGCGAAUCAGAAUGUCGCGGUGAAUACGUUCCCGGGCCUUGUACACACCGCCCGU